GUUAAUAACGUAUAAGAAAUGUCUGCUAUGAAAUCCUGUUGGAAUUCAGUGGAAGGGAAAAAAUUACCUUUUAUAUAUCAAAAUGAAAAUAACAGUAUCAGACGUUAUACCACUAUAAAUACAGAGGAUUAUCAGUAAGUCUUCCUGUUAAUAACGUAUUAGAAAUGUCUGGUAUGGCAUCCUGCUGGAACCUGGGUGAUUAGAUGCUUAAAGUUUCUUCUAGAAGAUGUAUCAGGUAAAAAGCUCCAAGGAAAAUGUCUCAGGAUCAUUUCCCCAGAGUCCCCUGCUAAGCUCUACUGCUGCUAUACAGUGAUCGCCGUCCUCGCUGCAGCUGUAAUUGCACUGUCUGUUGCAUUGUCAGUAAAGAAAGAACAAAUCUCAAUCAAUAAUACCUAUGCUGCUUGCCCAAGAGAUUGGAUUGGAUUUGGGAGUAAAUGUUUUUAUUUUUCUGAAAAUACAAAUAAUUGGACAUUCAGCCAGACUUUCUGCAUGGAACGGGAGGCCCAGCUAGCUCGAUUUGACAGCCUGGAGGAGCUGGUAAGAAAGGACCGGGAAUUGGUUUGUUGUUUGUUCUGUUGAAUGUGUAUUGCCUUGAGGUAGAGUGGUUAAAGAUGAGGCACGAGGAAGGAUCCCACCCCACACAGAUGGAGACAUGGGGAACAUGUGAGUGUGUGUCAUUUGCUGAUGGUGACACUUCUGAUUGGAGCCCUGAGACAGACAUUCAAGAAACAUUCUCUCAUGUAGUGCUCAUAGUCAAUCUGGCACGCCAGAUAUGCCAUUUUACUGAG